rnacentral:rRNA from 1 species
AGAGUUUGAUCCUGGCUCAGGAUGAACGCUGGCGGCGUGCCUAAUACAUGCAAGUCGUGCGGAAAGGCCACUUCGGUGGUACUCGAGCGGCGGACGGCAGAGUAACGCGUAGGAACAUACCCCAAACUGAGGGAUAACUGCUCGAAAGAGUAGCUAAUACCGCAUGUGAUCUUCGGAUUAAAGCUUCGGCGGUUUGGGAAUGGCCUGCGUCCGAUUAGCUUGUUGGUGAGGUAAUAGCUCACCAAGGCGACGAUCGGUAGCUGGUCUGAGAGGAUGAUCAGCCUGACUGGAACUGAGAACGGUCCAGACUCCUACGGGAGGCAGCAGUAGGGAAUUUUCCACAAUGGGCGAAAGGCCUGAUGGAGCAACGCCGCGUGCAGGAUGAAUGCCUUCGGGUUGUAAACUGCUUUUAUUAGUGAAGAAUAUGACGGUAACUAAUGAAUAAGGGUCGGCUAACUACGUG